rnacentral:lncRNA from 1 species
GUCCGGAACGAAGCGGCGGCCAUCGUCGAAGGUGGAGUCCACGGUGGAGCUGCAGUCGAAGACGUAGUUGUCGACGGGAGAGAAGGCGGAGAGGGCGAGGGAGAGGUGGAAGAUCCGACGAUUACAUGGGUAGGUGAUUUUGGGUGUUUGCGACGAUGGAUAGAGAGGGAGGACGAGAGAACUUUGGGAGAAUUUUUUUUUUCUUUUGAGGCGAGGGCG